UUGGUUUCUAUUUUUGGGACAUGAGUUUCCAAGUUCGGUGGAUGGAUGGUCUUCAUCCAAGUAUUUAGACCAAUGAUCUGAUGCAUCCUACCUUGGAUGGGGACUCUUCAAAAACCUUGAAGGCGGAAUUGCCAUUGCAUAGUUGUUAUAUUUCUAAGAAAUGGACCGUUAUGUCAAUUUAUCUAUUUUUUCCUUAUUUCCAUUUGCUUGACAUUACCAUUGCAUGAUUAGACUUUAAUUGGUUAAUAUACUUUUCAUAUCCCCAUUCAUCUCUUUAGAUGUUGUAUGAGCAUCACUAUCUAUACUAGUGAUCAACAUCAAUCCUUGAAGGCAACUAGGCAGACAAUUAAAACACUAGGAUUAUAGAAGUAUUCCUUUUUCCAUGCUCUAAGACUGCUGAUAUAGUCAAGGUAAUUCUAGGAUAAGUUGAACUAUCAUAAGACUUUAACCUCCAUUGUCAGGUUACAUUAAUGAUGAACAACCCAGGUUAUUAGAAAGCAUGAUCGAAUGGUUGUUGGUUUCUUUCCACUGCCUUAUUCUUUUAACUCAUUGUAUGCCUAUUUGUCAUCAUUUAUUUGUGAAGUUUUGUUUAUGUAAGUCAUGGAAACAUUGAAAAUAUCAUAUGGUAUUGGUCUUGAGUACCUAGUUAGCUAUGAGACCACCCAACCCAGAUUAUGGAAAAUAGGAUAGACUUCUCUUUCUUUUGUGCAUUUUUAGAAAUUUCUAGCUCACCAUAUUACUUGUCCCAAUCCCAUUUGGAUUCUAACUUUGAAGUAUCGGUUUUUGCAGCUAAAUCACAAGUCAUGUUUAUUUUUUUGAUGUCCUACAUUUAUAAAAUAAAUCAAAUAGAUUGUUUGGAUCAUGGAUAAAGACCCCAUAUUUGGUUAGCUAAUUACAAUCAAAUCAGUUUCUUCAUGAAAACUGGUUAGAUGUUUGUUGCCUUUGUUUGGUUAGUGUGCUUGUUGGACUUUUCCUUGCAUGCUUUUGUUGUCCAGGGAACAAGUUGACUUUGUAUCAUUUAUGGUUAGCUCUUACCUGAAGUGAAUUUUGUACAUAGUUCAACAGGAAAGUUGAACGGAUUGGUAGCACAAUCUCUUGGCCUUUUGAAAUUUCUAUUGGUUUCAAAUGCUCCGAUCUAUUUAUUUUUGUUUUGUUUUGUUUUUUGUUCUUUUUUUUUUUUUUUUUCUUUUUGGUUUUUUGCAAAACUGUUUUGUCUUUACCCCUGAUGAUUAAUGGUGUGCAUUCAGCAAUUUUUUUUCCCAGAUUCAUGGAGCGACCUCUUUCUAACAACUGAUCCAUAUUUGGACUUGGUCAUUGCCAGUGAUAUCAUAUUAUGUAAUCUUGUCUGCUACAUGUGCUCUUGCACAUGUCAGCGUGAUGGAUAUGCUGCAUUACCACAAGUUCACCAUAGGAACCUGUGCAUUCUAAAGAUGAUAUCAUAAAGUUUUGUGAAGAAACUAGUUUACCUGUGGCAUUAGAUGAAACUAUUGACCAUAUUCAAGGAGAUCCUCUCAAUAAGCUUAUGGCAUUUGUACACCCAGGAAUAGUUGUUGUUGUUAUUAAACCAAGUGUUGUUGAGGGGGUUUGAAAAUGCAACAAUGAUUGCAAAAUGGGCACAACAACAUGAAAAGAUGGUUGUUAUCAGUGCUGCAUAUGAAAGUGGCCUAAGUUUAGCAUCAUAUGUUCACUUUGCAUGCUAUCUUGAGCAGCAAAACACAGAGAUCUUCAAGAUGAAGAAUAAGGAAUAGCGCCCAACUAUAGCCCAUGGCCUUAUGAAGAAUGAGGGUGGAAGCGUUUUCUAUUGUUCUUUUCUAAUGUGGGCAACUAUUAUCUGCCAGCCCUCUCUACCAUGUGAAAUUUGAGGAUUUGAUUUUCCAAGAGGCAAAUGAAAAUGUGUUGGUUACCAAGACACUCUCUAUGCUCACUUUCUUUUGAUUGAAUGAAGGAUUAAUAUAAUUGAUUCAUUAUUGAAUGAAUGAUUGUAAUUGACUGAA